rnacentral:rRNA from 1 species
UCAGGCCUAACACAUGCAAGUCGAGCGGGGUUUUUGGACCUAGCGGCGGACGGGUGAGUAAUGCGUAGGAAGCUGCCCGAUAGAGGGGGAUACCAGUUGGAAACGACUGUUAAUACCGCAUAAUGUCUACGGACCAAAGUGUGGGACCUUCGGGCCACAUGCUAUCGGAUGCGCCUACGUGGGAUUAGCUAGUUGGUGAGGUAAUGGCUCACCAAGGCGACGAUCUCUAGCUGGUUUGAGAGGAUGAUCAGCCACACUGGAACUGAGACACGGUCCAGACUCCUACGGGAGGCAGCAGUGGGGAAUAUUGGACAAUGGGCGCAAGC